UACGUAGGGGGCGAGCGUUGUCCGGAAUUAUUGGGCGUAAAGAGCGUGUAGGCGGUUCGGUAAGUCUGUCGUGAAAUCCUGGGGCUCAACCUCGGGCGUGCGAUGGAUACUGCCGGGCUAGAGGGUGGUAGAGGCGAGUGGAAUUCCCGGUGUAGCGGUGAAAUGCGCAGAUAUCGGGAGGAACACCGGUGGCGAAGGCGGCAUCCUGGACCGAAACUGACGCUGAGGCGCGAAAGCCAGGGGAGCAAACGGG
rnacentral:rRNA from 1 species